rnacentral:lncRNA from 1 species
GGAAGGAGGGAGGGAGGGAAGGAAGGAAGGAGGGAGGGAAGGAGGGAGGGAGGGAAGGAAGGAAGGAGGGAGGGAGGGAAGGAAGGAGGGAGGGAGGGAGGGAAGGAAGGAGGGGGGGAAGGAAGGAAGGAGGGAGGGAGGGAAGGAAGGAGGGAGGGAGGGAGGGAAGGAAGGAGGGAGGGAGGGAGGGAAGGAAGGAGGGGGGAAGGAAGGAGGGAAGGAGGGAGGGAAGGAGGGAGGGAGGGAGGGAAGGAAGGCAGGCAGGCAUGCCUAUGUGAUGAUUGCUAAAGUAGCAGAAUCUUAACUUCUCCAUCGCAAGUGAGUGGACUGUGCUGAGGCCCAUUCAGCCUGGAGUUCAUGUUCAGAGGCCUGUGGGAGCCUCUCAGGUGGCUGGCCCUUACCUGGCAGCAGAAGCAGCAACCAAGCAGGUGGCAGGGCAGAGACAGGGUAGGGGAUAGGAACGGAAAGGGAUGGAGAAAGAAGAAUGAAGGUAGUAAAAGUAGACUCAGGACAGAGUGAACAUUUGCUGAAACAUCAACAGAUUAGCAGUCCCUGUGAUGGCUGAAAAGUUCAAGGGCAAAGGUCAGCUGAAAAAUUGAUGCCAGAUUCUCUAAACGAAUGUUCCAUCCACCUAAGCUUGAACAUCCCACAGGUGGGUGAUAAUGGGCACAUAAGAACUCCCAUGGCCAGAACUGAAACUUCUCAUUCAAGUGCAAACCGGUCAAUUUCUUUCCUUUGUUCACUCUGCUCUCCUAAAACCGUCAUCCCAGUCUGCCUGCUGCAAAACUUGCCAAGUCAUGAGAGUGGACAGAAAGAAUUACUGCUGACAAGCAAAUUGUGA